CCUACGGUCGGCUGCAGUAGGGAAUAUUGCGCAAUGGGCGAAACCCUGACCCAGCAACGCCGCGUGGAGGAAGAAGGCUUUCGGGUUGUAAACUUCUUUUGACAGGGAAGAGUAGAAGACGGUCUCUGUCGUAUACGCCACGUCUAACUCCGUGCCAGCAGCCGCGGUAAUACGGAGGUUGCAAGCGUUGUCCGGAUUUACUGGGUGUAAAGGGCGUGUAGGCGGGUUGACAAGUCAGAUGUGAAAUCCUGCGGCUUAACCGCAGAACUGCAUUUGAAACUGUUGAUCUAGAGUACUGGAGAGGCAGACGGAAUUCUUAGUGUAGCGGUGAAAUGCGUAGAUAUCAGGAGGAAUACCAGUGGCGAAGGCGGUCUGCUAGACAGCAACUGACGGUGAGGCGCGAAAGCGUGGGGAGCAAACAGGAUUAGAUACCCUUGUAGUC
rnacentral:rRNA from 1 species